AGCUAAUCCCCAGACCUAGUCAUAAGAAGAUACACCUGCAGUGACCAGAGCCGUUUAGAGGUUAACAUACAUGUCUAAUGAGAACUUAUUGAGAUUACGUCUCAAAAGAAGAAGUCGUAUUCAGUAAAAGGAUGGGAAACGCUUAGCUACAGUCACACAGAGGAGACGUUUUUCUUCUUCCAAAUAUAAAACCAAGAUAUCAGGAAGGGAGGCAUGGGCUGAAAGGACCAGAUUAUCUGUAACAAUGUUUUGUCAGCAUGGAAGAAGACGCAAUUCAGUACAACAAAAUCAAAUCUAGUAGAAGUCUUCCAGAAAAGCUGCAGCAAAAGGCACAACUCAGCACAGUGUUACUUUCCCUGCCAAUUGCCCAUCACCCUCUUCAGACACUCACUUAACCUGCUAUAGGGUUCUCUGGAACUGAAGUGUUUUGCAUAGCACUACAAAAUGCUAAGAAUCCUCCGACUUAAAAGGAUCAAAAAUUAGUAUU